rnacentral:rRNA from 1 species
GUGUCGGAGUGGUGUUUCCUAUCGAUCCAUACCAUUCUUGGCAACAUACCUGACAAAGUGGGAAGUGUAGCCGCAAGUUGCGCCUGUUUUUAAAUCUUUUUGGCUUUAUUUUUUUUAUUAAAAGACAUAUACUGUAUGUGCGUAGUUCAAGUUUUCGACCGAUUUAUCAAGGAAUAUUUUGGUUGCACUAGGACAAGACCAUAA